UCGGUAGCUUAGUUGGUAAAGCACUCGUCUAGCAUGUAAGAGGCGUGAGUUCAAAUCCCUCCUGA
rnacentral:tRNA from 1 species